GGUGAUGUGAGUGUGAUGUGAAAGCCCCGGGCUUAACCUGGGAAGUGCAUCGCAAACGACAUGACUGGAGUAGAUGAGAGGGUGGCGGAAUUUCCGGUGUAGCGGUGAAAUGCGUAGAGAUCGGAAGGAACGUCAAUGGCGAAGGCAGCCACCUGGCAUCAUACUGACGCUGAGGCGCGAAAGCGUGGGGAGCGAACAGGAUUAGAUACCCUGGUAGUCCACGCUGUAAACGAUGAGAACUAAAUGUUGGAGGGGGAACCCUUCAGUAUUGAAGCUAACGCGAUAAGUUCUCCGCCUGGGAAGUACAGUCGCAAGACUGAAACUCAAAAGAAUUGACGGGGGCCCGCACAAGCGGUGGAGCAUGUGGUUUAAUUCGAUGCAACGCGAAGAACCUUACCUACCCUUGACAUCCUGCGAAUCCCGAUGAGAGUUGGGAGUGCCGCAAGGAACGCAGAGACAGGUGCUGCAUGGCUGUCGUCAGCUCGUGUUGUGAGAUGUUGGGUUAAGUCCCGUAACGAGCGCAACCCUUGUCCUUAGUUGCCAUCAUUUAGUUGGGGACUCUAAGGAGACUGCCGGUGAUGAACCGGAGGAAGGCGGGGACGACGUCAAGUCAUCAUGGCCUUUAUGGGUAGGGCUACACACGUGCUACAAUGGGGCGUACAGAGGGUCGCCAACCCGCGAGGGGGAGCCAAUCUCUUAAAGCGUCUCGUAGUCCGGAUUGGAGUCUGCAACUCGACUCCAUGAAGUCGGAAUCG
rnacentral:rRNA from 1 species